UAGCCAUUAUGACUGAUUUAGCUGAAUAACCUUGGGUCUGCUUCAGGCUGCAGGUUGGCCGAACUUAGCUACCUGUUGAAGUUUAGGUCUGCAUCAUAUUUCUCCACAUUUAUCUCGGACCAGCAGAUAUUUAGGCUAUUGGCAGAAGCAUACCCGGGCAAACCAAACCAUGGGAGUACUUUCUAACCCCCUGUUCACAUUAUGUUCAAUAACAUCCUACUGGCCUAAGUAAGAACGAUGGUCACUUAGCCAGGUGUCGUGGUGUGCGCCUGUAGUCCCAGCUACUCAGGAGGCUGAGGCAGGAGAAUCACUUGAACCUGGGAGGCAGAGGUUGCAGCAAGCCGAGAUUGCGCCAUUGGACUUCAGCCCGGGCAACAAGAGCGAAACUAAGUCUUAAAAAAAAAAAGGCCUCACUCACUGCCGACCUGCCUCGCCACGCCCCGGGCAUGCCCUGCCACCACCUCACAGAAAUGCUUCGGUUCCCCACUGUCUUUAGAUAAGACCAUUGUCCAGGGUAUUGGUUCCUCAUCUCACUCGGGCUUAUGCCAAAGAUGUAAAAUUCAGUGCAGAU
rnacentral:lncRNA from 10 species